UACAGAGGGUGCGAGCGUUGUCCGGAAUCACUGGGCGUAAAGGGCGCGUAGGUGGCGGGCCAAGUCAGUGGUGAAAGCCUCGAUGCUCAACAUCGAGUCGGCCACUGAUACUGGUUUGCUUGAGCACUGUAGAGGCAGAUGGAAUUCCGGGUGUAGCGGUGGAAUGCGUAGAGAUCCGGAAGAACACCGGUGGCGAAGGCGGUCUGCUGGGCAGUUGCUGACACUGAGGCGCGACAGCGUGGGGAGCAACAGG
rnacentral:rRNA from 1 species